UUGUAUGCUGGAAGGGAUAAAUCUGGGACUGAGUACAAGUGAAACAAGACCAAAGGAAGCUACCUGAGCAGGUAUUCCAGAUGUUAAUGUCAUACACCCAGGUUGUACCAGUGCCCCUUUCUCUGUGACACAUCCAUCCGUUGGAAACUUUCAUACAACUAGCUGAAAGAAGAGAAACAUCCUAUUUUGUGUCACUGGAGCCUUAAUGAUCGCAGCCCUUUCAGGAGAUGCCAUCAAUUACAGCAAGGAGCUCAUUCAGAAGUGAAAGAUGAGUUCCAUUCUCUGUUACUUAGAGCCAUGAUGAAGAAGGCUACUAUGGGCCCUCAAGUUAAUAGCAUCAGCUAAGACCAGCCUGCCAGCCAUCCCUGCCAAAGCACCAAACA